UACGUAGGUGGCAAGCGUUGUCCGGAUUUAUUGGGCGUAAAGCGAGCGCAGGCGGUUUCUUAAGUCUGAUGUGAAAGCCCCCGGCUCAACCGGGGAGGGUCAUUGGAAACUGGGAAACUUGAGUGCAGAAGAGGAGAGUGGAAUUCCAUGUGUAGCGGUGAAAUGCGUAGAUAUAUGGAGGAACACCAGUGGCGAAGGCGGCUCUCUGGUCUGUAACUGACGCUGAGGCACGAAAGCGUGGGGAGCAAACAGG
rnacentral:rRNA from 1 species